rnacentral:rRNA from 1 species
GACGAACGCUGGCGGCGUGCUUAACACAUGCAAGUCGAACGGAAGGGCGCUGCGUUUGUGGGGUUCUUGUUUGGCGAACGGGGGAGUAACACGUGAGUAACAUGCCCUUGACUUUGGGAUAACUUCAGGAAACUGGGGCUAAUACCGGAUAGGAUCUCCUGCUGCAUGUUGGGGGUUGGUAAGUGUCGGCGGUUGGGGAUGGACUCGCGGCUUAUCAGCUGGUUGGGGGGGUAGUGGCUUACCAAGGCUUUGACGGGUAGCCGGCCUGAGAGGGUGACCGGCCACCUGGGUACUGAGAUACGGAGCAGACGGCUACGGGCCGCAGCAGUGGGAAAUAUUGCAGAAUGGGCGGACGUCUGAUGUAGAGACGCCGCGAGCGGAAUGCCGUGCUACGGGUGAAAAACAGCUGUCGAAGGUGAUGAGGCCUGAGUGACGGUAAUGGGUAAAGAAGCAACGGCUAACUACGUG